rnacentral:rRNA from 1 species
UGCAAGUCGAGCGAUGAAGCACCUUCGGGUGUGAAUUAGCGGCGAACGGGUGAGGAACACGUGAAGAAUCUGCCUUCAACUCUGGGAUAACUCCGGGAAACCGGGGCUAAUACCGGAUAUGAGCCUUGAUCGCAUGAUCGGGGCUGGAAAGUUUUUCGGUUGAAGAUGACUUCGCGGCCUAUCAGCUUGUUGGUGAGGUAAUGGCUCACCAAGGCGACGACGGGUAGCCGGCCUGAGAGGGCGACCGGCCACACUGGGACUGAGACACGGCCCAGACUCCUACGGGAGGCAGCAGUGGGGAAUAUUGGGCAAUGGAGGAAACUCUGACCCAGCGACGCCGCGUGAGGGAUGAAGGCCUUCGGGUUGUAAACCUCUUUCAGUAGGGAAGAAGCGAAAGUGACGGUACCUACAGAAGAAGCACCGGCUAACUAUGUGCCAGCAGCCGCGGUAAUACAUAGGGUGCAAGCGUUGUCCGGAAUUAUUGGGCGUAAAGAGCUCGUAGGUGGUUCGAUACGUCGGAUGUGAAAAUCAGGGGCUCAACCCCUGACCUGCAUCCGAUACGGUCGAGCUAGAGUUUGGUAGGGGAGACUGGAAUUCCUGGUGUAGCGGUGGAAUGCGCAGAUAUCAGGAGGAACACCGAUGGCGAAGGCAGGUCUCUGGGCCAAUACUGACACUGAGGAGCGAAAGCGUGGGGAGCGAACAGGAUUAGAUACCCUGGUAGUCCACGCCGUAAACGGUGGGCGCUAGUUGUGCGAACCUUCCACGGUUUGUGCGACGCAGCUAACGCAUUAAGCGCCCCGCCUGGGGAGUACGAUCG